GGGAAAUGGGCGGAGGGGCCCACCCCAGGCCCCAAAACAAGCCUACGGGGCU
rfam:Heterocephalus glaber contig102098, whole genome shotgun sequence.